GACGAACGCUGGCGGCGUGCUUAACACAUGCAAGUCGAACGGUGAAGCGCCUUCCUUUUUGGUGGGUGUGGAUGAGUGGCGAACGGGUGAGUAACACGUGAGUAACCUGCUCCCUACCUCUGGAUAACCGCAUGAAAGUGUGGCUAAUACGGGAUAUUCUGGGUCUGUCGCAUGAUGGGUCUGGGAAAGUUAUUGUUUCGGUGGGGAUGGGCGCGGGGCCUGUCAGCUUGCUGGUGGGGUGAUGGCCUCCCCAGGCGGGGGCGGGUAGCCGGCCUGAGAGGGUUGCCGGGCUCGCUUGGACUGAGGCUCGGCCCCGCCGCCUACGGGACGCAGCAGUGGGGACUAUUGCACGAUGGGCGGGAGCCUGAUGCAGCGUCGCCGCGUGCGUGAUGGAGCCCUUCGGGUUGUGAACCUCUUUCGCCAGUGAAGCAGGCCUGCCUCGUGUGUGGGUGGGUUGACGGUAGCUGGAUAAGAAGCGCCGGCUAACUACGUG
rnacentral:rRNA from 1 species